UACAUGUGGGGCAAGCGUUGUUCGGAAUUACUGGGCAUAAAGGGUGCGUAGGCGGCUUGCCAAGUCACUGGUGAAAGUUUUCGGCCCAACCGGAAAAUUGCCUGUGAUACUGGCGAACUUGAGUGCGUGAGGGGUGGGGGGAACGAGCAGUGUAGCGGUGAAAUGCGUAGAUAUCAGGAGGAACACCGGUGGUGUAGACGGCUAUCUGGACCGUAACUGACGCUGAGACACGAAAGCGUGGGUAGCAAACAGG
rnacentral:rRNA from 1 species